CGGACGGGUGAGUAAUGUCUGGGAAACUGCCUGAUGGAGGGGGAUAACUACUGGAAACGGUAGCUAAUACCGCAUAACGUCGCAAGACCAAAGAGGGGGACCUUCGGGCCUCCUUGCCAUCGGAUGUGCCCAGAUGGGAUUAGCUAGUAGGUGGGGUAACGGCUCACCUAGGCGACGAUCCCUAGCUGGUCUGAGAGGAUGACCAGCCACACUGGAACUGAGACACGGUCCAG
rnacentral:rRNA from 1 species